UGUCAACUGAUUAAACACUUUAAACAUUCAUAACUCAAUCCCUUUUUAGCCAUGCCACAGCUUUUUGCUAGAGUGACCCAUAAACAUAUCCCAGUAACUUGGUGUAAUCAUGGCAAAAUGACAGAAAACACACUGGACCCCCACAUAAUGUUAAGUAUCCCAAGGACUCUUCCAGAGCAUCUCUGGGAUAGUGCUUAAGAUUGUGUAUUCAUUAAAUGUUUUGCCCACGGAUAUGCAUCUGUACUUACUGAUAUUACUCCUGCAUGGUUGUAAUGUGUUUGUAUAUGAUAGGUCUGCCUGACCAUGUAAAGCACUGUGGUUGUAAUGUAUUUAUGAUAGGGCUGCCUGACCAUGUAAAGUACUGUGGUUGUAAUGUAUUUAUGACAGGUCUGCCUGACCAUGUAAAGUACUGUGGUUGUAAUGUAUUUAUGAUAGGGCUGCCUGACCAUGUAAAGUACUGUGGUUGUAAUGUAUUUAUGACAGGUCUGCCUGACAAUGUAAAGUACUGUGGUUGUAAUGUAUUUAUGAUAGGGCUGCCUGACCAUGUAAAGUACUGUGGUUGUAAUGUGUUUGUAUAUGAUAGGUCUGCCUGACCAUGUAAAGUACUGUGGUUGUAAUGUGUUUGUAUAUGGUAGGUCUGCUUGACCAUGUAAAGUACUGUGGUUGUAAUGUGUUUGUAUAUGGUAGGUCUGCCUGACCAUGUAUAGUAAUGUGGUAGUAAUGUGUUUGUAUAUGGUAGGUCUGCCUGACCAUGUAUAGUAAUGUGGUAGUAAUGUGUUUGUAUAUGGUAGGUCUGCCUGACCAUGUAUAGUAAUGUGGUAGUAAUGUGGUUGUAUAUGGUAGGUCUGCCUGACCAUGUAUAGUAAUGUGGUAGUAAUGUGUUUGUAUAUGGUAGGUCUGCCUGACCAUGUAAAGUACUGUGGUUGUAAUGUAUGUAUGAUAGGGCUGCCUGACCAUGUAAAGUACUGUGGUUGUAAUGUAUGUAUGAUAGGGCUGCCUGACCAUGUAAAGUACUGUGGUUGUAAUGUGUUUGUAUAUGGUAGGUCUGCCUGACCAUGUAAAGUACUGUGGUUGUAAUGUAUGUAUGAUAGGGCUGCCUGACCAUGUAAAGUACUGUGGUUGUAAUGUAUGUAUGAUAGGGCUGCCUGACCAUGUAAAGUACUGUGGUUGUAAUGUAUUUAUGAUAGGGCUGCCUGACCAUGUAAAGUACCGUGGUUAUAAUGUGUUUGUAUAUGAUAGGGCUGCCUGACCAUGUAAAGUAGCGUGGUUGUAAUGUGUUUGUAUAUGAUAGGGCUGCCUGACCAUGUAAAGUACUGUGGUUGUAAUGUAUGUAUGAUAGGGCUGCCUGACCAUGUAAAGUAGCGUGGUUGUAAUGUGUUUGUAUAUGAUAGGGCUGCCUGACCAUGUAAAGUACUGUGGUU